GUGCUGAACCAGGAAGAGAUGGAGAAAGUAAAACGUGAAAAUCCUACAGUUAUGGAUAAGGCCCGAGCUGUGAUUGACUCUGUUAUUCGCAAAGGGGCACAGGCAUCCCAAAUUUUCAUUACAUACAUUUGUGAAGAAGACAGGUACCUGGCAGGGACACUGGGACUUUCAGCAGGUCCGAUACCUGGAAAUUAGCUUAGUACACAAGACUCCCAAGGAGUACUUUCUUUCUUCCCAGCACCUCAGGCAGUGCAGGACAACCCAGCUAUGUCCACAUCUUCAAGCCCAGAAGGCAGCAUCAAGCUUUGCUUUCUAGAAGAACCUCAAAGGAUAUGGAAACAAAAGUCACAGAGGUUGGAGUGAAAGAUAUACUUCAGGCAGUUCUGAAAUUCAGUGGCUUUUUCUUAGAAGCAAUUUUAUUGAACGGUUCUGGAGAAUCAUACUUCUGCUCCCCUUGCAUAAAUGAUGUCUAUAUCCUAGAAUCCCAGGUUUAUGUAAAGAGCUGCAAACUGGAACUCAUAAAUUAUCGUAGUCUUCACCCAGUCUGUCUCUUGGAAUUUAUUUCCCACUGACACAAAUGUCAUUUAUUUCCCAAUGACACAAACAAGCCAUUUUGUCUGCUUGUAUAAUCCAGAUUUUCCAGUGUAGUGCCCAGUUGGAAAGAAGCACAUCACACUGAAUAAGUAUUGAAGUGGACUCUGGCUUCUCAUCCAAUUCUCCAACUUGUGCUUACCAAGAAUUGGAGUCAGUUUUUUCUCUUUGUUCCUGUUCAUAAAAUGAAAUUACUGUUUAUUUAACAUUAUUAAAAUGAAGCAUAAGAAAAUUUAGAGGCACUUUACCAAAAAGUGCAUUUUAACGUCACCUUGCUUCUGGGCUAUAGCUUAUGACUACUAUACAUGAGCGGUAUAAUGGCAUGCUCUCUACACCUGGCAUUGCAUCUUAGAAGGUAAGAAUGAUUAUGAGGCCCCUCCUAUAUACGAGAACACAGAGGAUGGGAGAUGUUAAAUAACUUGUCUAAGAUCUACACCUCAUAAAUAGAAGUUGACCCUAGGGCUAUUAGAUGCCAAAGUCCACACUGAAAAGCUGGGCAGAAAGA